GAAGGGGGCGAGCGUUGUUCGGAAUUACUGGGCGCAAAGGGCGCGUAGGCGGCUCUUUAAGUUAGGCGUGAAAGCCCCGGGCUCAACCUGGGAACUGCGGCUAAGACUGAGAGGCUAGAAAACGGAAGAGGGGGGUAGAAUUCCCAGUGUAGAGGUGAAAUUCGUAGAUAUUGGAAGGAACACCAGUGGCGAAGGCGACUACCUGUCCGGAUAUUGACGCUGAGGGCCGAAAG
rnacentral:rRNA from 1 species